ACGAACGCUGGCGGCGUGCUUAACACAUGCAAGUCGAACGAAGAGCGAUGGAAGCUUGCUUCUAUCAAUCUUAGUGGCGAACGGGUGAGUAACGCGUAAUCAACCUGCCCUUCAGAGGGGGACAACAGUUGGAAACGACUGCUAAUACCGCAUACGAUCUGACCUCGGCAUCGAGGAUAGAUGAAAGGUGGCCUCUACAUGUAAGCUAUCACUGAAGGAGGGGAUUGCGUCUGAUUAGCUAGUUGGAGGGGUAACGGCCCACCAAGGCGAUGAUCAGUAGACGGUCUGAGAGGAUGAACGGCCACAUUGGGACUGAGACACGGCCCAGACUCCUACGGGAGGCAGCAGUGGGGAAUCUUCCGCAAUGGACGAAAGUCUGACGGAGCAACGCCGCGUGAGUGAUGACGGCCUUCGGGUUGUAAAGCUCUGUUAAUCGGGACGAAAGGCCUUUUUGCGAAUAGUGAGAAGGAUUGACGGUACCGGAAUAGAAAGCCACGGCUAACUACGUG
rnacentral:rRNA from 1 species